GAUGAACGCUGGCGGCGUGCCUAAUACAUGCAAGUCGAGCGAACAGAUGAGGAGCUUGCUCCUCUGACGUUAGCGGCGGACGGGUGAGUAACACGUGGAUAACCUACCUAUAAGACUGGGAUAACUUCGGGAAACCGGAGCUAAUACCGGAUAAUAUAUUGAACCGCAUGGUUCAAUAGUGAAAGACGGUUUUGCUGUCACUUAUAGAUGGAUCCGCGCCGCAUUAGCUAGUUGGUAAGGUAACGGCUUACCAAGGCAACGAUGCGUAGCCGACCUGAGAGGGGGAUCGGCCACACUGGAACUGAGACACGGUCCAGACUCCUACGGGAGGCAGCAGUAGGGAAUCGUCCGCAAUGGGCGAAAGCCUGACGGAGCAACGCCGAGUGAGUGAUGAAGGUCUUCGGAUCGUAAAACUCUGUUAUUAGGGAAGAACAAAUGUGUAAGUAACUAUGCACGUCUUGACGGUACCUAAUCAGAAAGCCACGGCUAACUACGUG
rnacentral:rRNA from 1 species